UUGACCUCGGAUCAAGUAGGGAUACCCGCUG
rnacentral:rRNA from 1 species